UUACUAAGAGCAUACUCCAACAGUACUACCAUUAAUUUUCAUAUGUGAAAAUAGUUCUAUCUAAUACAUCUAUUGAAAUUACUUUAGGCAGUGGAAUGCAGCUAUUCUAACCUAACUGACCCCAAGAAAGAAGAGAUAAGCAUCCACUCUUCUGUGAAGGGUCAAAUCUCUGAGCAAGGCUCAAUUACCAUGAAAUCCUGCAAUAUGUUCAAAAUUCAUCUGGAUUUCAGUAAAAAUAUCGGUUUGUACAUUUACAGCACAACUGUAGACCGCGGUCAAAGAUGACUGGGUCCCUGACAGCUGCACAUUAAUUGAAGAGGUAUCUGGGCUUUAAAACUGAUUUUGAGUUGUCAAAUUUUAUGCAGAAGAUCCAGUCUGUUCCAGAAGGUUUGUUCUGCUGUUUCAUGGCACCCUGUUCAUCACAUUAAAGCAGUCAGAGUGAAUUAGCAUAAUGAAAAACCAUCAAUCACCUUGCUGACAGCCUAAAUAGACCAGCUUCUUGUCAUCACCUGAUGAUGCAUGGACACUGAGGUACACCUCUGGAGUGUACAGAUCAAGCAAAUACAAGUUAACUACAGAUAAGAGAGGCAAAGGCCAGAACUUCAAUCAAAAGGAGCCAUUGAUUUGAAGAACAAGGGGACCAGGGCUCAACGCUCCCCUAGGAAACCCAAGGCAAGAGCUGCAAGAUUUCACAAGAAGCACACAAGAGGAGAUAUUCCACAUCUUACAGUGAGAUCAUGACUUUCCAGUUACAGAAAAUGGAGUCUGAGGAGCGUGCCAGCACCAGUGCAGAUGUACUGGGAAUUGUACA